GAUGAACGCUGGCGGCGUGCCUAAUACAUGCAAGUCGAGCGAACAGACGAGGAGCUUGCUCCUCUGACGUUAGCGGCGGACGGGUGAGUAACACGUGGAUAACCUACCUAUAAGACUGGGAUAACUUCGGGAAACCGGAGCUAAUACCGGAUAAUAUAUUGAACCGCAUGGUUCAAUAGUGAAAGACGGUUUUGCUGUUACUUAUAGAUGGAUCCGCGCCGCAUUGGCUAGUUGGUAAGGUAACGGCUUACCAAGGCAACGAUGCGUAGCCGACCUGAGAGGGUGAUCGGCCACACUGGAACUGAGACACGGUCCAGACUCCUACGGGAGGCAGCAGUAGGGAAUCUUCCGCAAUGGGCGAAAGCCUGACGGAGCAACGCCGCGUGAGUGAUGAAGGUCUUCGGAUCGUAAAACUCUGUUAUUAGGGAAGAACAAAUGUGUAAGUAACUAUGCACGUCUUGACGGUACCUAAUCAGAAGGCCACGGCUAACUACGUGCCAGCAGCCGCAGUAA
rnacentral:rRNA from 1 species